rnacentral:rRNA from 1 species
AACGUACGCUGGCGGCACGCCUAACACAUGCAAGUCGAACGAAGUAGCAAUACUUAGUGGCAGACGGGUGAGUAACAUGUAGGUAUCUGCCCUUUGGCCUGGAAUAACACGAGGAAACUUGUGCUAAUACCGGAUAAGUCUUUACGGAGAAAGCUUUAUGCACCAUUGGAUGAGCCUGCACUUGAUUAGUUUGUUGGUGGGGUAAUGGCCUACCAAGACUGUGAUCAAUAGCUGAUUUGAGAGGAUGAUCAGCCACAUUGGGACUGAGACACGGCCCAAACUCCUACGGGAGGCAGCAGUGGGGAAUCUUGCACAAUGGAGGAAACUCUGAUGCAGCGAUGCCGCGUGAGUGAAGAAGGCCCUUGGGUUGUAAAGCUCUUUCGUCGGGGAAGAAAAUGACUGUACCCGAAUAAGAAGGUCCGGCUAACUUCGUGCCAGCAGCCGCGGUAAUACGAAGGGACCUAGCGUAGUUCGGAAUUACUGGGCUUAAAGAGUUCGUAGGUGGUUGAAAAAGUUAGUGGUGAAAUCCCAGAGCUUAACUCUGGAACUGCCAUUAAAACUUUUCAGCUAGAGUAUGAUAGAGGAAAGCAGAAUUUCUAGUGUAGAGGUGAAAUUCGUAGAUAUUAGAAAGAAUACCAAUUGCGAAGGCAGCUUUCUGGAUCAUUACUGACACUGAGGAACGAAAGCAUGGGUAGCGAAGAGGAUUAGAUACCCUCGUAGUCCAUGCCGUAAACGAUGUGUGUUAGACGUUGGAAAUUUAUUUUCAGUGUCGCAGGGAAACCGAUAAACACACCGCCUGGGGAGUACGACCGCAAGGUUAAAACUCAAAUGAAUUGACGGGGACCCGCACAAGUAGUGGAGCAUGCGGUUUAAUUCGAAGAUACGCGCAGAACCUUACCAACACUUGACAUGUUCGUCGCGACUCUAAGAGAUUAGAGUUUUCGGUUCGGCCGGACGAAACACAGGUGCUGCAUGGCUGUCGUCAGCUCGUGUCGUGAGAUGUUGGGUUAAGUCCCGCAACGAGCGCAACCCUCACUUUUAGUUGCCAUCAUUAAGUUGGGCACUCUGAAAGAACUGCCAGUGAUAAGCUGGAGGAAGGUGGGGAUGACGUCAAGUCCUCAUGGCCCUUACGUGUUGGGCUACACACGUGCUACAAUGGUAUCUACAACAGGAAGCAAGACUGCGAAGUUAAGCAAAUCCCUAAAAGAUACCUCAGUUCGGAUUGCACUCUGCAACUCGAGUGCAUGAAGCUGGAAUUACUAGUAAUCGUGGAUCAGCGUGCCACGGUGAAUGCGUUCCCGGGUCU